UCCGUAGGUGACAAGCGUUGUCCGGAUUUACUGGGCGUAAAGAGCGCGCAGGCGGUCGUUCAAGUCGAGUGUGAAAGCCCCCGGCUCAACUGGGGAGGGUCAUUCGAUACUGAUCGACUCGAAGGCAGGAGAGGGAAGUGGAAUUCCCGGUGUAGUGGUGAAAUGCGUAGAUAUCGGGAGGAACACCAGUGGCGAAGGCGACUUCCUGGCCUGUUCUUGACGCUGAGGCGCGAAAGCUAGGGGAGCAAACGGG
rnacentral:rRNA from 1 species